rnacentral:rRNA from 1 species
AUGGGGGAGUACGCGGCGGCCAAGACGGCGGUGUGGUGGGACAUCGAGAAUUGCGCCGUCCCCCGCAACUGCGACCCCCACCUCAUCGUCCAGAACAUGAGCUCCGCCCUCGCCACCGCCGGCUACGUCGGCCCCAUCUCCGUCUCCGCCUACGGCGACACCAGCGGCAUCGCCCACAACGUCCAGCACGCCCUCUCCAGCACCGGCGUCUCCCUCCACCACGUCCCCGCCGGCAUUAAAGAUGCAAGUGAUAAGAAGAUCUUGGUUGACAUGCUGUUCUGGGCUAUUGACAACCCUCCGCCAGCGAAUUAUUUGCUAAUCUCUGGUGAUCGGGAUUUCUCUAAUGCCCUUCAUAAGCUUAAGAUGAGGCGGUACAAUAUUCUUUUAGCACAACCUCCAAAUGUGUCUCAAACGCUUACUGCUGCGGCAAAGAGUGUUUGGCUCUGGAGAAGCCUUGUGGCUGGAGAACCACCAUUAGCAGUGUCACCAUACAUAAGCAGCGCAUCAAGUGGCAAUAAGGAUAAUUUGGAUACGUCAAGGAACACUGUUCCAAAUUCUUCAGCCGCGGCUCGAGAUACUAACCCUCAAGUGCAGAAUCCUUCUCAGCAUGAUUAUCAAAAUGGUGGUAAUGGUAAGGUAGAUAAGCAACCCAAAGUGAAGCAACCUCGGAAAAAUCAGACAGAUAAUGCAUCUAAACCAGCAGGCAAAAAGGAAAACUCAGUUGAUGGAGUCGCUGAUAAUUCCAAAGGAAGCACUGCUAGCCAACCAAGUCAGCCUUCUACACCAUCAUCAAGUUCUUCAUCAAGUCCUGAACCCCAGAGUAGGGCAAAGGCGAACCAGACAAGUAUACCUAAAAACCCACCCCUUUUCCUGCCUAAAAAGCCUGCAAAACCCACUAAUUCCCAUCAAAAGAGUGUUCCUCAUGACUAUUUUGGUAGUAAGAAGUCUGGUGUGUCAACUGAAUCUGCACCGAAAAAUGGUGCUCCUGAUUCUGGCCAUGGUAGUGGCCAUAAUCAUCCAAAACACCAUAACCAAUCCUCUCAGCCGCCAAAACCACAUAAUCCAGUGACUCCUCGUCCUCACAAUGGACCUGGUAAUUUUCACACAUCAAAUUUACAUAGAAGUAGUUCAUGUCCACCACAAGCUCCACAAGCUGGGCAUACUGGUGUUCCCACUGCACCACUGCAGUCCUGGCCAAGUGCUCCUCCUCCCCCCUAUCAUGUCCCGCCAGUUAAUUAUCCUGAUAUGAGUCGGCUGAAUAUUUCUGGAUACCCCAUAGGGGCUCAUGACAACCAAGGUUCAAACGUUAGCUACCAUCCAAACUAUUCUGGUGCUGUUCAGCCUCCUUACAAUAAUUAUAGUUACAGACAUCCAACUCCACCUAAUAUAUCCAGCAACAUGCAGAAUGCUGGACAAUGGGGUGCAAACACUGGAUGUCCGCAGCCAUCUUCUGACUCUCAAAUUCUUAUAAGAAAUAUCUUAAGUGCUUUGGAAGUACUGAAGACUGAGAAGCUUGCACCAACCGAACAGCAUAUAUCAGAUUGCGUACGUUAUGGAGGUGCUAAUCUACCACAAUUUGAUGUUAAGAAGGCUCUUGAAGUUGCUAUUCAGCAUCAAGCUAUCGUAACGAAAAAGUUAGGACUUGUGUCAUUCUUUCUGGGAAAAGAUGAAAAUCUCUGGAAAUGCGUGAAUAUAAUGGAUAACAAUGCUAGGCACUCAAAAGAGACUCUAGAUACUGUUCAUAGGUACAUAUCUACUGCCCCUGGAUGUUCUGCGAUAAAGAACUCUCAAUCAAGGUAUCACGCUGCAACUCUGUUGAAGAAAACAUGCUUGAAACGUCUUUCCCUUGGCGAAGUUCUUCAGGUUUUGUAUAUCGCAACCGAUAAAAUGAAGUGGUUUGUUCCUCACUCUUCAGGCUGGCAGCCUCUCUCAUGGAACGUGAUAGUGGCUGAUACUGCUCCAGAUGCUAGUGGAAAAUCCUAG